rnacentral:snRNA from 1 species
AGAUGUGAGGGCAAUCUAGCUGUGGCAUCUCUCACCCCAUUGAUUGCCAGGGUUGAUUAGGCUUUUCUGGCCAGCUAGGCAGGUGUCGCCUUUCUCCCUUUUCUCUCUAUGUCCAUCCCUCCAAUGCUGCACGUUCUAUCAGUAGGAGAGGAGGACCAUCCUCACUACAGGAGAACCAUUCUUCAGUCAAGAGUAUACUCCUAGCUGCACUCCCCUGUGGGAGCCUCCAAGCAAGCUCUCAAAGUCCAUUAGUAGAGAACAUAGGGUGGUCAAGCUUCUAAAACUCCAGACACAUUCAAAUGGGAGCUGCAUGUGGCAGUGUGCCUUUCUUU